rnacentral:rRNA from 1 species
GACGUAGGGCGCGAGCGUUGUCCGGAUUUAUUGGGCGUAAAGAGCUCGUAGGCGGCUUGUCGCGUCGUUCGUGAAAACCCGGGGCUCAACUCCGGGCUUGCGGGCGAUACGGGCAGGCUAGAGUUCGGUAGGGGAGACUGGAAUUCCUGGUGUAGCGGUGAAAUGCGCAGAUAUCAGGAGGAACACCGGUGGCGAAGGCGGGUCUCUGGGCCGAAAUUGACGCUGAGGAGCGAAAGCGUGGGGAGCAAACAGG